GACGAACGCUGGCGGCGUGCCUAACACAUGCAAGUCGAACGGAGAUAUGAUUUCGGUUAUAUCUUAGUGGCGAACGGGUGAGUAACGCGUGAGCAACCUGACUCUUAGAGGGGGAUAACACCCGGAAACGAGUGCUAAUACCGCAUAAGACCACGACAUGGCAUCAUGACGAGGUCAAAGGAGCAAUCCGCUGAGAGAGGGGCUCGCGUCCCAUUAGAUAGAUGGCGGGGUAACGGCCCACCAUGUCAACGAUGGGUAGCCGAGCUGAGAGGCUGAUCGGCCACACUGGAACUGAGACACGGUCCAGACUCCUACGGGAGGCAGCAGUGGGGAACAUUGGGCAAUGGGCGCAAGCCUGACCCAGCAACGCCGCGUGAGGGAAGAAGGCUCUCGGGUUGUAAACCUCUGUCCUUGGUGACGAAACAAAUGACGGUAGCCAAGGAGGAAGCCCCGGCUAACUACGUGCCAGCAGCCGCCGUAAUAC
rnacentral:rRNA from 1 species